rnacentral:rRNA from 1 species
GACGAACGCUGGCGGCGUGCUUAACACAUGCAAGUGGAGCGACGAACCAGGCUUCGGCCUGGGGCAGAGCCGCGAACGGGUGAGUAACACGUGGGUAACCUGCCCUGAUGAUUGGGACAACCCGAGGAAACUCGGGCUAAUACCAAAUGUGCCCUCCGGCCGUAAGGCCUCUGGGGAAGGGAAGCUUCGGCCUCCGCAUCGGGAUGGGCCCGCGGCCCAUUGGCUUGUUGGUGAGGUAACGGCNCACCAAGGCUACGAUGGGUAGCUGGUCUGAGAGGACGAUCAGCCACACUGGGACUGAGACACGGCCCAGACUCCUACGGGAGGCAGCAGUGGGGAAUCUUGCGCAAUGCGCGAAAGCGUGACGCAGCAACGCCGCGUGGGGGAAGAAGGCCUCGGUU